GACGAACGCUGGCGGCGUGCUUAACACAUGCAAGUCGAACGGAAAGGCCCUGCUUUUGUGGGGUGCUCGAGUGGCGAACGGGUGAGUAACACGUGAGUAACCUGCCCUUGACUUUGGGAUAACUUCAGGAAACUGGGGCUAAUACCGGAUAGGAGCUCCUGCUGCAUGGUGGGGGUUGGAAAGUUUCGGCGGUUGGGGAUGGACUCGCGGCUUAUCAGCUUGUUGGUGGGGUAGUGGCUUACAAAGGCUUUGACGGGUAGCCGGCCUGAGAGGGUGACCGGCUACAUUGGGACUGGGAUACGGCCAAGACUCAUACGGGAGGCAGGAGUGGGGAAUAUUGCACAAUGGGCGGAGGCCGGAUGCAGAAACGCCGCGUGCGGGAUGACGGCUUUCGGGGUGUAACCCGCUUUCGCCUGUGACGAAGCGUGAGUGACGGUAAUGGGUAAAGAAGCACCGGCUAACUACGU
rnacentral:rRNA from 1 species